AAGAUACAAUAAAACAUCAAACAUGAAAAACUUCCUCAAACAGGGCGCUGCUUCCGGAGACCCGUUUCUGGAAGCCCCGGGAGAGGAGCGGAGCUCUGGCGCUCGGAUCCUGCUCGCUGCUUCCCCAUGGACGGGCCCCGGCCUGAUCCUGCAGGCUCUCCCGAGGUCCUUCGGUCUUCACGCAGCGCAUCCCUGAAGGCGCUCGAGUCCCACCUGGCUGGUUCCCCAAGAUGAUGGGAUGCGCAGAAGGGGCUGCCUCGCCGUGCGCGCGGCGGUGUCGGGAGCGCGCCGGGCCCCGCCGCGCAUGCGUCCCUGCCGCUGGGCCAGCCGAGCUCCUUCCGUGGACCUGGACUGGUCGGCCGGCGGGCGCGCGCCGGAGGCUGCUGCGGGGCUGGCGGGGCAGGGGUCCCCAGGGUCACCUAGCCCAACCUCCCGCAAGGUAGAACUGUUUUGCCCAACCUGGGGCUCGAACCCACGACGCUGAGAUGAUCGAGCCUCGCGCUUGACCCGCCCCUCUUUGGCUUUAUCUCUGGGUGUCUGCAGUGCGCUUGGCUCCUCCUGCGAUCCUGGGAUAAAAAGAAGAUAUCUUUAUCGGACUGAGUGAAAUGAAGAUAAUUAUGUGUUGUAUAUAUAUGGAAAAUAAUAAAUAAAGCAACUAAUAGAAAAAAAUACAGCAGGCACCUCUCAUUAGGCAGAACUUGGCAGAAGGCCAAAGGAUCCUUCCGAUCUCCUGGAGGUGUCCUGAGAACAGAGAUGGAUGAGCAAGACUCAGCUGGCCCUGAAGCAGGAAGAGGCCAUGCCAUGGAAACGGGGAGCUGUGGGGGAUUCCAUGAAGACUCCGUGCAGAAGAUCCUGGGUGAGGAGGACACCCCUUGCUCAGAGGUGCAGAGCCAGCAGCUCAGGCAGUUCUUCCACCAGGAGGCCAAAGGACCCCGAGAGGUUUGCAGCCAACUCUACCACCUUUGCUGUCAAUGGCUGAAGCCGGAAAGGCACACGAAAGCUGAGAUGUUGGACCUGGUGAUCUUGGAGCAGUUCCUGGCUGUCCUUCCUCUGGAGAUGGAGAGCUGGGUGAGGGAAUGC